CUAGCUGUGGUCUCUUAGUGGGGGACAGGACCUAACAUUCAGCUUCUGCAGUUGCUGUAUCCAAUGAAGAGACUUUCCCUGCAUAGAAGUCAUCAGCACAGAUUAAUGCAAAAGGGACUAUUUGAGGUGUGGCUGAUAGCAGAAGCAGCUGUCCUUGCUCACAGAACACUGCUUCCAUGUCACAGCUGGACCCAUGCCAUGGAGCUGAUGUAACCAGGUGUGCCUCCAAUACAGCAUUUAGCAAGGGGAGAUGGUGAUUUCGCAAAACAGACACGGUUGCAAGUAAUGCCAAUGGCAGAGGAAAGAAGACAUAUUUCAUUCUGAGGAGGGAAAGACAAACGUACACACCCCCUCCUCUGCCUACCUCCUUCCCUGGCAGGUCAGCUGUCUCAGGGAACAACAACAGCAUUCCUGGUCUUCAGAAACCUCUGGAAGGAAACCAGAGCCAUACGUGUAUGUCUCAGCUCUUUCCCUAUUUGUGAUA